rnacentral:rRNA from 1 species
UUGGAAAUAGCAAUAUUACCAUGAGAGUGGCGCACGGGUGCGUAACACGUAUGCAAUCUGCCCCUAACUGGAAGAUAGCCCGGCGAAAGUCGGAUUAAUAUUCCAUAACAUUGCGAAACGGCAUCGUUUUGUAAUUAAAGCUCCGGCGGUUAGGGAUGAGCAUGCGCGACAUUAGCUAGAUGGCGAGGUAACGGCUCACCAUGGCUACGAUGUCUAGGGGGUCUGAGAGGAUUAUCCCCCACACUGGUACUGAGACACGGACCAGACUCCUACGGGAGGCAGCAGUAGGGAAUAUUGGGCAAUGGACGCAAGUCUGACCCAGCCAUGCCGCGUGCAGGAUGACGGCCCUAUGGGUUGUAAACUGCUUUUGUACAGGAAGAAACCCCUUUACGUGUAGAGGGCUGACAUUACUGUAAGAAUAAGGAUCGGCUAACUCCGUGCCAGCAGCCGCGGUAAUACGGAGGAUCCAAGCGUUGUCCGGAUUUAUUGGGUUUAAAGGGUGCGUAGGCGGACCAUUAAGUCAGAGGUGAAAGUUUGCAGCUUAACUGUAAAAUUGCCUUUGAAACUGGUGGUCUUGAGUACAGUUGAGGUGGGCGGAAUGUGUCAUGUAGCGGUGAAAUGCUUAGAUAUGAUACAGAACACCGAUUGCGAAGGCAGCUCACUAAACUGUAACUGACGCUGAGGCACGAAAGCGUGGGGAGCGAACAGGAUUAGAUACCCUGGUAGUCCACGCCCUAAACGUUGAAUACUCGUUGUUGGCGAUAUACAGUCAGCGACUAAGCGAAAGCAUUAAGUAUUCCACCUGGGGAGUACGACCGCAAGGUUGAAACUCAAAGGAAUUGACGGGGGCCCGCACAAGCGGAGGAGUAUGUGGUUUAAUUCGAUGAUACGCGAGGAACCUUACCUGGGCUUGAAAGUUAGCGAC